rnacentral:rRNA from 1 species
UACGUAGGUGGCAAGCGUUAUCCGGAAUUAUUGGGCGUAAAGCGCGCGCAGGCGGUCCUUUAAGUCUGAUGUGAAAGCCCACGGCUCAACCGUGGAGGGUCAUUGGAAACUGGGGGACUUGAGUGCAGAAGAGGAGAGCGGAAUUCCACGUGUAGCGGUGAAAUGCGUAGAGAUGUGGAGGAACACCAGUGGCGAAGGCGGCUCUCUGGUCCAGCACCGACGUUCAGGCACGAAAGCGUGGGGAGCAAACAGG